GGAGUUAGGAAAUGUAAGUGCGCCAAUAUCGUGCAUAUUUGACAAAGGCUCCAAAGGAAGCCACGGCUAACUCUGUGCCAGCAGCCGCGGUAAUACAGAGGUGGCGAGCGUUGUUCGGAAUUAUUGGGCGUAAAGAGCACGUAGGUGGGUUUGCAAGUCAGAUGUGAAAGCCUUCUGUUCAACGGAAGAAUUGCAUCUGAAACUGCUGAUCUUGAGUAUAGGAGGGGAGAGUGGAACUUCUGGU
rnacentral:rRNA from 1 species